GGUAGCUUAAUUUGUAAAGCUUUGGAUUCUUACUCCAAGGAUGUCUUUGACUUCUCUCGAAG
rnacentral:tRNA from 1 species